AGGCGUGAGCUGUGGGUUCUAGGGUUUCAUCUCUAGAUUUUGUCAGAAAAAAAAUACAAAAGUAAGUCUUAUCUAAUCUUUCACACCACCACCUUCUCAUAAAGUUUUAUCUUUUGAUCUGAAGGAGUCUAAAAAAUUCGAAGAAAGGAGCUUGGAUCAGCCAUCCAGAGCCUUCGAUGCGAGCUAGCACUCUCGUGAAGGAAGAUUCGAUCAGAGCUUCGAGUGGAUUAUCUAUAGAGGUCGAACGAUCUGUGUAGCUACUCGAUAUCAGUGAGAGCUUUGUACCAUACUUAUCAGUAGUGAAGAUCAUCGAUC
rnacentral:lncRNA from 1 species